rnacentral:tRNA from 1 species
GGAGAGAUGGCUCAGCAGUUAAGAGCACUGGCUGCUUUUCCAGAGGACCUGGGUUUGAUUCCCAGUUCCCACA